GGCUGAAGAGUGACGUUCGUAAAGAGAGCACGGAGGAGGGGCGGCGCUGAGCGGGAGACGGGGAGAGUAGUGGAGCUUCACGAGGAAAACAGCUCCUCUUCAUAGUAUGGAACCUUCAUCUCCCAGAACUGCCUUGGUGGAUGGCGACGCGGGAUGGACCUGGAGAUGGUGGUUCUGGGUGAUAUAAACGCGUUGCACACGGAAGUGCGCUAGGGGCCUGACGAAGUGCAUUGUGCGGGAUACGGUCCGUGGCCCAGUCCUCCCCCCACGCCAGUACACCGCUCUCCCAUCCAGCUCCUGUACCCCAGAAGAUCUUUUAUGAAUAAAGACUGAAUAGAUUCGGCAAGACAUUGGUAACCGUAGGCGACAAAGCACUCUCUACAGGUAUCAACUCUAUUCUGUGUGGGACUACAUUUCCUAUGAUAAUUUUUUGAAGAUUUGAUACUUCGAGAUGCUUAAAUUGUUUCAUUUUAAAAUAAACGAAAUUGAAAAUAAUAGAUUUCCUAUCUAGAGUGACAUAUUUAGCCUCCAAAUAAUAAACUUCUUGAUGAACAAUCCUGCCAGAAACAAUUGAAGUGUUCUCCUUGUUUCCUUUUCCUUUUCUACAAUUAUUUCAUGGAGAAGUUAUUAAAUAUUGACUUUCAGAAUUGAUUUAUAAAGUAAAGUUUCAGUUAGAAUAAAAUUAUUUGUCAUAUAUUUGUUAGUGAUACUAUUGUACAGUUGAAAAAUAAUACCUGAUAACUAAUCUGCUUGUAUGUUUCUAUUUCUAUG